rnacentral:misc_RNA from 1 species
CGCACCUUGCACCUUUUGGUAUUCCGAAAGGUAUGCCUGUUUGAGUGUCUUAAACCUCUCACCUCUUGAUGAUUUUGUUAUCGUCCUGAGUGUGGAUUUGGGCGUCUGCCUGGUGAAUAACUAUGGCUCGCCUUAAAUGUCUUCGUGGGUCAAGCCCUUGGUUUAGACGUAAUAAGUUAUUCGUCUGAUCUUUUGGUUUGGUUUGCUUACAACCCUUUAUAUUUUGAAAUGAGACCUCAAAUCAGGUAGGACUACCCGCUGAACUUAA